rnacentral:rRNA from 1 species
UGGUGGAGUGAUUUGUCUGGUUAAUUCCGUUAACGAACGAGACCUCCGCCUGCUAAAUAGUGGGUAUAGGCUUCUAACGUGUGAACCGGGUGUCGGCGGGUAGGGUCUCGGCUUUGCCUUCGGUGCCCGGGGAACUAUGAUGCUCUUUAUUCUGCUUCUUAGAGGGACUGCCCACGGUAAGUGGGAGGAAGUCGGAGGCAAUAACA